rnacentral:snoRNA from 1 species
CGCUUUGCAAUGGGCCAGAGUAAAUGAUAUUCCGUUUAAUCAUAGGCUAAAUCGGGUACUCAAUACCUUAGCCUAUUUCAUGCCCGGAAUACA